GAUGAACGCUGGCGGCGUGCCUAAUACAUGCAAGUCGAGCGAACGGACGCGAAGCUUGCUUCUCUGAUGUUAGCGGCGGACGGGUGAGUAACACGUGGAUAACCUACCUAUAAGACUGGGAUAACUUCGGGAAACCGUAGCUAAUACCGGAUAAUAUUUUGAACCGCAUGGUUCAAAAGUGAAAGACGGUCUUGCUGUCACUUAUAGAUGGAUCCGCGCUGCAUUAGCUAGUUGGUAAGGUAACGGCUUACCAAGGCAACGAUGCAUAGCCGACCUGAGAGGGUGAUAGGCCACACUGGAACUGAGACACGGGCCAGAGUCCUACGGGAGGCAGCAGUAGGGAAGCUUCCGCAAUGGGCGAAAGCCUGAAGGAGCAACGCCGCGUGAGUGAUGAAGGUAUUCGGAUCUUAAAACUCUGUUAUUAGGGAAGAACAUAUGUGUAAGUAACUGUGCACAUCUUGACGGUACCGAAUCAGAAAGCCACGGCUAACUACGUG
rnacentral:rRNA from 1 species